rnacentral:tRNA from 1 species
GCCUGGGUGGCUCAGCGGUUGAGCGCCUGCCUUCGGCUCAGGGCGUGAUUCCGGGAUCUGGGAUCGAGUCCCACAUCGGGCU